GAUGAACGCUGGCGGCGUGCUUAAUACAUGCAAGUCGAACGAAGGGUUAGCAAUAACUCUUAGUGGCGAACGGGUGAGUAACGCGUUGGUGACCUACCCCAGAGAGGGGGAUAACAGCUCGAAAGGGCUGCUAAUACCCCAUGUCGUCAUGGCGCUUAGAAAGCCAUGUCGAAAGGUGCAAACCGCUCUGGGAGGGGCCUGCGUCCCAUCAGCUAGUUGGUAAGGUAACGGCCUACCAAGGCUUCGACGGGUAGGGGACCUGAGAGGGUGGCCCCCCACAAUGGAACUGAAACACGGUCCAUACACCUACGGGUGGCAG
rnacentral:rRNA from 1 species